AUGAAUAAAUGGAUGAAGAAAGGCCCCUUGGAAUGGCAAGACUAUGCUUACAAAGAAGUCAGAGUGACAGCCAGUGAGAAGGAGUAUAAAGGAUGGGUUUUAACCACAGACCCAGUCUCUGCCAAUAUUGUCCUCGUGAACUUCCUUGAAGAUGGCAGCAUGUCUGUGACUGGAAUUAUGCGACAUACCGUGCAGACUGUUGAAAUUGUGAAUGAAGGGGGCCAUAGCGUGAGAGAGAAGCUGAUGCCUUUGUUCAUGUCUGGAGACUGCAAGGCAUACAGUCCUGAGGAUCUGGGAAAGAGAAAGAACGGCCUGAAGAAAUGGCUGGAGAAGAACCACAUCCCCAUUACUGAACAGGGAGCUUUACAAAGGACUCUCUGUGUGUGGCUGGGGUCUUGAGUAUAGACCCACCAUAUGACCCAGAAAAUUGGCAACAGUUCUGAGGUUAUUUUAUCCUGUGUUCAGGAUCUUAUUCAGGGACAUCUUGCAGCUUCCCAAUGAGAGGCCAAGAACAGUGGAUACACGGAUUGAAAUGACUUCAUUUUUUAAAAAAUU